rnacentral:rRNA from 1 species
UGGGGAAUUUUGGACAAUGGGGGAAACCCUGAUCCAGCCAUCCCGCGUGUGCGAUGAAGGCCUUCGGGUUGUAAAGCACUUUUGGCAGGAAAGAAACGUCAUGGGUUAAUACCCCGUGAAACUGACGGUACCUGCAGAAUAAGCACCGGCUAACUACGUGCCAGCAGCCGCGGUAAUACGUAGGGUGCAAGCGUUAAUCGGAAUUACUGGGCGUAAAGCGUGCGCAGGCGGUUCGGAAAGAAAGAUGUGAAAUCCCAGAGCUCAACUUUGGAACUGCAUUUUUAACUACCGGGCUAGAGUGUGUCAGAGGGAGGUGGAAUUCCGCGUGUAGCAGUGAAAUGCGUAGAUAUGCGGAGGAACACCGAUGGCGAAGGCAGCCUCCUGGGAUAACACUGACGCUCAUGCAAGAAAGCGUGGGGAGCAAACAGGA